rnacentral:tRNA from 1 species
GCCGGCUUAGCUCAGUUGGUAGAGCAUCCUGAUUUGUAAUCAGAGGGUCGCGUUUUCAACUCAUGUAGCCGGCA